rnacentral:lncRNA from 1 species
ACUCUGUUUUGACGAUUUAUUUCUCUGAGUUCUAAACUACAUCGCACAACAAUAGAUCUGCACUGUUUUUGUACAACAGAUGGCGGGCAGCUUAGAUGGGAAGGACUGUCAGAACUGGUCAAGAAGCGUGGGAUUUAGCUGCCUACAGGAAGAUGUCUAAUGGAGCUGGCUAAUACAACACAGGACUUGAUAGAGACCAUGCACCGGAUUAACGCAGAAGAAAAACAGAUCUCUGAGAAUAACAGCCUGGAAAAUGCAGCGAAGCUGUGCUGAUGGACCAGAGCAGCCAGGCCGCUGACAAUCAAGGAAAGCAGCAUCAGGUUAUCAGAAUAUUCCCAGCUUCCAGGUUGCUGAAAGAUGUUUCCGUAAGGGAAGUGCAGCUGUCAUGUUAUGUGCUGUCACAUCAUGAUCUUCCUUCAUUUCUCAGUAGACGUGUGUAUCUUACAUAGCAGGUGGUGUACAACCUGCAGAACAAUCCAUCGCUAUUAUGGACAAAGUGACCUAGUCAGAGGUGCCCGCUGUAAUUAGCAUUAUGGGAAGAGCAUGGAGCUUGGUUCAUGCUAUGUUAAAAUCGUGUUGAUGACGUUGACAACAAGUGUAUGUUGAAAGACCAGUGCAUUUAAAAUGAAUAUUUUUGUUGGCUUCACAGGAACUGUGAAGUUAGUAGCAGCCAAGUGUGUGUAAUGUUAUGACUAAUUUCCGGGUUUUCAAACUAUACUAUAAAUACAAGAGUAUUCCUCAAUUUUGGUGACUAUAUUUUAUCCAACUUGAGAACUUUCCUUAUAAUCUCUGGAGGCUUAGAAUGCCUUCCCCAGAAAUGGCUGUAGGAAACAGUGUACAUGUAAUCCUCUGAUUUACACAGCAGAGCAGGACUUCAGUGAACUCAGUAUCUAAGCAAUUUUUUUCUUUCUAUGAAGAUAUUAAGUAUCUUCCACAGAAAAAUCCUCCACAAUCUUAUUUGUAGAAUGCUCAUGUACUAAAUACUCAUAAUUAUGUCAUGGCUUGUGUCAUGUCACUAAAUAGUCCUGUCAGAAAGUCUUCCAGGCAUGUUAUAGUUACGUAACAGCAAUGCUGUUCUGUUAGGCAGUGUAAUGCAUAGCAAGAGAGAACCCCUGGGGGUUUAUAGUGAGCAAAGCAAGUAAGCAAGGCGAGAAAGGACCCCGGGGAGUGGAGUUGAAGGUAUGCUCACGCUGUAGGCCAUGGUCAGUCAAGGGAAUUCAGAGGUUCUGUUUUCUAGAGUAGCCUUCUUUGGAGACUAUCUUCCUCCUUAACUCUGCUUAUUGGUCUUAUCUUUUUUUUUUCUUCUUCUUUUUUUUUAAGAAUUCCUUGGCUGUAUAGUGGAGAAAUACAUCCAAAUCAGAAGUAUAUUUUCAGGUAGCUGCUAUGAGUAAUAAAAAUUGAUUUGGGGAAAUAAGGGCCA